CAACCCUUAAGCCUAGCUUAGUGUUGGGAGACUGCCUAAUACGCAGCUCCUCAAAACCAGUGGCGGAGUCUUUUCGUGCUCUGAGCGUAGUAAUUCUUUAUCUCGCUUCUGCAAGCCGGCUAGACAACAGCCAUAAACCGCACCCUUCGGGGGCACUUUUUUAAU
rnacentral:misc_RNA from 1 species